AGAGUUUGAUCCUGGCUCAGAACGAACGCUGGCGGCAGGCUUAACACAUGCAAGUCGAACGCAUCCUUCGGGGUGAGUGGCAGACGGGUGAGUAACGCGUGGGAACGUGCCCUUCAGUUCGGGAUAACCCAGGGAAACUUGGGCUAAUGCCGGAUACGUGCGAGAGCAGAAAGAUUUAUCGCUGAAGGAUCGGCCCGCGUCUGAUUAGCUAGUUGGUGGGGUAAUGGCCCACCAAGGCGACGAUCAGUAGCUGGUCUGAGAGGAUGAUCAGCCACAUUGGGACUGAGACACGGCCCAAACUCCUACGGGAGGCAGCAGUGGGGAAUAUUGGACAAUGGGCGCAAGCCUGAUCCAGCCAUGCCGCGUGAGUGAUGAAGGCCUUAGGGUUGUAAAGCUCUUUCGUCCGGGACGAUAAUGACGGUACCGGAAGAAGAAGCCCCGGCUAACUUCGUGCCAGCAGCCGCGGUAAUACGAAGGGGGCUAGCGUUGUUCGGAAUCACUGGGCGUAAAGGGCGCGUAGGCGGCUUUGUAAGUCGGGGGUGAAAGCCUGUGGCUCAACCACAGAAUUGCCUUCGAUACUGCAUGGCUUGAGACCGGAAGAGGUAAGUGGAACUGCGAGUGUAGAGGUGAAAUUCGUAGAUAUUCGCAAGAACACCAGUGGCGAAGGCGGCUUACUGGUCCGGUUCUGACGCUGAGGCGCGAAAGCGUGGGGAGCAAACAGGAUUAGAUACCCUAGUAGUCC
rnacentral:rRNA from 1 species